AUGGAUAGUACCUUAGGUGACAUGUUGGUUAAGGUGGUUGUGUUCUUCCUAGUCCAAGCUUUGGUGUAUCUUAUUCUUUCAAAUUCAUCAAACAUAUUCUCCAAGGAUAUCAAGAGAUCAAACAGUUUCAGGCCGGCGCGUUCUCUGAGUAUUCGCCGAAUGUUGGCUUUGCUUUCCGAUUUCCCACCAGAAGGAGAACCUUCUCCUUCUACAAAGAGUCCUCAACCACAAGCUACUCAAAGUUAG